AAUGAGCAAAGGGCAGAGAAAUGAAAAAGUCAACAGGGCCCAGGUCAUGGACAGCAUUAUGCCUAAACCCAAACCAGCAGCUGGCAACCUCUGGGUUUCUAACUUUCCUGGUAGAGAAAGAGAGAGAGAGAGAGAAGAAAAGACCCCCUAUGAUGUUGCUUCCACAAAACGUGCACUGAGAAAGCGGGUUGGGCCCAGCGUUCAGCUGGAGUCUCCGUCUCUCCCUGCUCAUGAGGCCUGAGGCUGAGCUUUUUCCACAUUCAUCUCGGAGCUGCUGCAGCAUGACAGGCCGCGGGACUCUGGGCCUCGGUGAGAAGUGACCCGCCGCUGGUGAGAACUAGUCAGCAGACAACAUGAUUCGGAGGAAGUGAGUGAUCUUUACCUGUCAGGUGAGUGGCUGUGAUGAUCAAGGAAACCCCUGCAUGGAGCAUGAAGCCCUCUCAGCCUGAGUUUGACCUUUCUUGGAGUGUUUUGUGGAGCUUCGAGAGGUGUGCCUAGAUCUCCAGGACUUGCCAUCCUGCUGGGAGAGAAGAUUCCCAGACAUAAGUCAGCAGGCAGUCAAUCCAGUCUGUGGCCAGAGGCAGGAGGCCAAGGCACUGCAGGAGGGAGAAAGACGCUGGGUGCAAGAUUCUUCUAGAAGGUGGGUCUUAAGCCAGACCUCGAGGGAGGAAGCCCAUGAGGGUGGUUGGCCAUGGGGGAAGACUGAGGGCAGGAACACCAGGAGCAAAGGCCGGGCAACGGCCUGAAUUGAGUUAGGGGCAGAGUGAGAUUCACAGGGCCCCAGGGCCCCAGGCAGGCAGGCAGAGGCGGGACGGACUGCAGCAGGGUCAGGCUGUCCCUCUCUCUACAUGGCUCAAAGUGAUCUCACGGGGGGCCUUGGGACCCCGCAGCAGUUUCUGUGCUCUGCCUUCUGGACUGGCACCACCCAGUGAGGCCCUGAGAGCGAAAUGCACUGGUAUCCACUCAUCCCAGAGCCACGGCAGCCCGGCAUGGUGAUCCCGGAGCACAGAAGUGGUGUGACAGCCUUAUCACUACUGCCCUUGUCUUAGCUUCAUGGGGGCUGCAACUUUGAGCUGAGCAGCAGAGACUUGGAGUUACAAGACUCAGUUUAUAACUCACCAACUUGCAAUCAAAUUGGAAAGAGAGCAUGUGUGAAGUGUUACGGCUAAAUGUCAAAGGCUUCAGAGAAUGAAGGGAGAAGGACCUGGAGUCAAAUCCAGGCAGGCUAAGGAAGGACCAAGCCCAGUGGGUCCUGAGCAAAUAUGUACCCUGGGCCAUUCAUUUACUCAACAAGUAAUGAGCCAUCAUUAAACUCGCUGGAUGCCGUGUGUGCAGCAAUGGGGCCACAGGUAAGGAGCCAAAUCUCAUGGAACCUCAAGUUUCAUGGUGGGAGGAAGCCCAUAAACAUAAGAAAAACUAAUAGAGUUGUGUAGGGGGGUAAGGAGUGACAAGUUGCAGGGGACAGAUUGGGUCUUCCAAGGCCUCCCUGAGGAGUAGCCUCUGACAGGAGAUGCAGAUGGUGAGAAGGGGUGUGGGGUCUGGUGCCAAGGGAACGCUCCAGAGUUGCCCCGUGUAUGGGUAGGAAUCCACAGGUCACAUUUAGGAGACAAGAGCAGUUUGCUGUGCACUGCAGUGUUCUUAGACUGUCGCCUGCAUUAACACACAGCCCCUGUAGGAGGGGCAGGG